UCGCUGGUUUCACUAUAUGGUGGAUAACAGCUUUUUUUACAAGGAUAAGAAUGAAAUAAAUUCUGCAUCAAUCCACUGAUACCACUAUACUUUAUACUAUUGAGUACACUGAGUAGUGAUUUAUUGUUAUAUUUAUUGAUCUUUCCUAAGAACAUGUUGUGUUCAGGUAUGAAAUAGUUCGGACAGUAACAGUUGUUUACCCAUGCUAUCAGCUUAUUCAGGCAGAGAGAAAACAAAUAAACAAUUUAGGUAAUUGAAAUGUGUCAAUAUCAACUUCCU
rnacentral:lncRNA from 1 species